UACGUAGGGAGCAAGCGUUGUCCGGAAUCAUUGGGCGUAAAGCGCGCGUAGGUGGCUUCGUAAGUCCGUUGUGAAAGUCAAAGGCUCAACCUUUGAAAGCCGAUGGAUACUGCGGAGCUAGAGUACGGAAGAGGCGAGUGGAAUUCCCGGUGUAGCGGUGAAAUGCGCAGAUAUCGGGAGGAACACCUAUUGCGAAGGCAGCUCGCUGGGACGUUACUGACGCUGAGACGCGAAAGCGUGGGGAGCAAACAGG
rnacentral:rRNA from 1 species